GAUAAAGGAAAGAGUAAAUACAAUUUUUUUCUUAAUACGUAUUGGUAAAAUUUGAACUGGAAAAACAAAAUUCGCCAGGUAUGACGACAGGAAACAUGCAAAUUAAUACAUUAACUCUGAUUAAGGUGAGCGACACUACAGAUGAGAGCAGCACGGGACGCCACUAAUGAAUCAGCUUAUUUCGGGAGGCCACUGAACCUCGGAAAUUCAAGACAAUGUGAAAGAAAGUCUGGUAUUUCUGGUGAGAGUUGGUUGUGUUCUGUAGUUCUGUAGUUCAGGAGCGCCAAAGUACGAAGGCGUCUCCGUGUCUGCCUGUGUUUUACGGGGAUUCUACUGGUGGUGUUCAAGAUGUCCUAAGAAGGAAGGGUUGCCGGAUUCGGUGAUAGGGUGUGUCAGGGUUGUCGGUGUUCCGAGGCAGGUGUGUUUAUGGGAUGUUGUGAGGACCAAGUGUUAAUAUGUUUGUAAAAUAUUAAGAGGAUGCAGAAUUUGGAUGCAAAAACAAAUAAACAAAAAACAAACAUUUCCUAAAUAAUUCAUACAAAGUGUAUUCGUAUUUUCUCUCUCCUUCCUCUGAAUUUAUGGACGUUUCGACACAAAGUCAAGAAAGAAAAACACUCGAAUAAUUCAUGCAUGCUGCUGCAUUACCGUCGCUCACACUAUUGAUCACCUUUCCAAAGUGUACUUUUACUGCACUCCCAAUUACUACCUUGAAAUACUAACACUGCAAAUUACGGGGAAAAUUUGCUCCCAUCAAGCGGUGCCCUAAAGGACACAGCUGAGUCACUGAAGAGCAAGCCACGCAUAGGUCACACUGUGGGGUGAUGUAAAGCUUUAUAAUGCUAAGAAGGAUCACUAGGGGCUCAGUACAGUGUGCUCACGCUCACACUCACAACUUCCUCCCAAAAACCUCGAUUCCUAGUGCUCUACUCUGUGCCCGUGUACCGAACCUCGCAUCCUCUGCGAGUCGUGUUUGUUUCUUUAUUUGUCUUCCGGAGCCGCGGACUUUUGAUACUAUAAAAGUGAGCGAUUUUCGGGCCCACUGGAGGCUUUUGGAACUUUACCUGUUGAUCAGCACUCCAAUGACUAAAGAAUUUGAGACGGCUCUACCUUCAAAAAGAGAGUGAGUGGAGAGAAGAUUCAGCUCUCUUCUUCGAGGAAUCUGAAGCGACAUAAUAAGUGAGGGCUGCUGGACGGUGGUGCCAGCGCUACGGACGGCGGUGGAAGGUUCAGAGGCGCUCUCUCACCAACCUGAAAUGUACCGUGAUGCCAAAACUUAUUGACAGCCUAAAGAAACAUUUCCGUGCAACGGGACAGCCAUGACGGCACCUACCACCACCACCGCCAACACAACCACCACCACCACCACCACCAUCUAGCACUGCAGGAUACCAGUGAUAAAAGGUGUUCGUGCCAACACAUGGCGCAGACUUCGCAGGAUUGG